CAGGCCUAACACAUGCAAGUCGAACGGCAGCACGGGAGCAAUCCUGGUGGCGAGUGGCGAACGGGUGAGUAAUAUAUCGGAACGUGCCCAGUCGUGGGGGAUAACGUAGCGAAAGUUACGCUAAUACCGCAUACGAUCUAUGGAUGAAAGCGGGGGAUCGCAAGACCUCGCGCGAUUGGAGCGGCCGAUAUCAGAUUAGCUUGUUGGUGAGGUAAAAGCUCACCAAGGCGACGAUCUGUAGCUGGUCUGAGAGGACGACCAGCCACACUGGGACUGAGACACGGCCCAGACUCCUACGGGAGGCAGCAGUGGGGAAUUUUGGACAAUGGGCGAAAGCCUGAUCCAGCCAUGCCGCGUGUGUAAGAAGGUCUUCGGAUUGUAAAGCACUUUAAGUUGGGAGGAAGGGCAUUUACCUAAUACGUAAGUCUUUUGACGUUACCGACAGAAUGAGCACCGGCUAACUCUGUGCC
rnacentral:rRNA from 1 species